UCGUGAACACUUCCGGAUUUGUUCAAAUUGGAAGGAUAUAGAGGAGAUGAACAUGGCCCCUGUGCAAGGAUGACACGCACAGAGACGGCGAUUCGCAAAUGGCAU
rnacentral:snRNA from 1 species